UGGGGAAUAUUGGACAAUGGGCGAAAGCCUGAUCCAGCCAUGCCGCGUGAGUGACGAAGGCCUUAGGGUUGUAAAACUCUUUCGUCGGGGACGAUAAUGACGGUACCCGAAGAAGAAGCUCCGGCUAACUUCGUGCCAGCAGCCGCGGUAAUACGAAGGGAGCUAGCGUUGUUCGGAAUCACUGGGCGUAAAGCGCACGUAGGCGGAUAGUUAAGUCAGGGGUGAAAUCCUGGGGCUCAACCCCAGAACUGCCUUUGAUACUGGCUGUCUCGAGGUCGAGAGAGGUUGGUGGAAUUCCUAGUGUAGAGGUGAAAUUCGUAGAUAUUAGGAAGAACACCAGUGGCGAAGGCGGCCAACUGGCUCGAUACUGAUGCUGAGGUGCGAAAGCGUGGGGAGCAAACAGGAUUAGAUACCCAGGUAGUCCCUGAGCGGGCUGGCAAGGCGCAU
rnacentral:rRNA from 1 species